UGGGGAAUAUUGGACAAUGGGCGCAAGCCUGAUCCAGCAAUGCCGCGUGAGUGAAGAAGGCCUUCGGGUUGUAAAGCUCUUUCGUAUAUGAGGAUAAUGACAGUAGUAUAAGAAGAAGCCCCGGCAAACUUCGUGCCAGCAGCCGCGGUAAUACGAAGGGGGCUAGCGUUGUUCGGAAUUACUGGGCGUAAAGGGCGCGUAGGCGGUUAUACAAGUUAGGCGUGAAAGCCCUGGGCUCAACCCGGGAACUGCGUUUAAGACUGUAUGGCUUGAGUUUAGGAGAGGAUAGUGGAAUUCCAAGUGUAGAGGUGAAAUUCGUAGAUAUUUGGAGGAACACCAGUGGCGAAGGCGGCUAUCUGGCCAUAAACUGACGCUGAGGCGCGAUAGCGUGGGGAGCAAA
rnacentral:rRNA from 1 species